rnacentral:rRNA from 1 species
CCUAGGGCGGCAGCAGUGAGGAAUAUUGGUCAAUGGGCGCGAGCCUGAACCAGCCAAGUAGCGUGAAGGAUGACUGCCCUACGGGUUGUAAACUUCUUUUAUAAAGGAAUAAAGUGAGGCACGUGUGCCUUUUUGUAUGUACUUUAUGCAUAAGGAUCGGCUCACUCCGUGCCAGCAGCCGCGGUAAUACGGAGGAUCCGAGCGUUAUCCGGAUUUAUUGGGUUUAAAGGGAACGUAGACGGGUUAUUAAGUCAGUUGUGAAAGUUUGGGGCUCAACCGUAAAAUUGCAAUUGAUACUGGCAGUCUUGAGUACAGUUGAGGUAGGCAGAAUUCGUGGUGUAGCGGUGAAAUGCGUAGAGAUCACGAAGAACUCCGAUGGCGAAGGCAGCUUACUAAACAGCCACUGACAUUGAUGCGCGAAAGUGUGGGUAUCAAACAGGAUUAGAUACCCCGGUAGUC